rnacentral:lncRNA from 1 species
UUCUUUUAUGUAUGAUUUGUCAUAAAUGGGAUGCUCCAUAUUUGUACUUCUGAUUUUUUUCUUUUAAAUUAUCUAUAUAAUAUAUUGGUUUGUCAUUUGUGUUUGUAACUGUUGGCGGAAGGCCAAAUUUAUUGGGAGAAGCAUGUGAGAUGUGGUUAGUUAAUUUUAUAAGUUUUAGGGCAUUAAGUAUUCAAGUGAUAAUAGGGUAUGAAUUGUGAGGGUUCGUCUGCGAGAGGG